UACAGAGGGUGCGAGCGUUGUCCGGAAUCACUGGGCGUAAAGGGCGCGUAGGUGGCCUGAUAAGUAGGGGGUGAAAUCCUGUGGCUUAACUGCAGGGCUGCCUCCUAGACUGUUAGGCUCGAGCACGGUAGAGGCAGAUGGAAUUCCCGGUGUAGCGGUGGAAUGCGUAGAGAUCGGGAAGAACAUCGGUGGCGAAGGCGGUCUGCUGGGCCGUUGCUGACGCUGAGGCGCGACAGCGUGGGGAGCAA
rnacentral:rRNA from 1 species